ensembl:lncRNA
UUACCACGGUAAGAUGUACCUGUCCAGUCAGCACAUCUGCUUCCACUCGUCUGUGCUGCUGAAGGACACCCGGGUGAGGCUUCUGUUCACGGAUCAAUCACUGCAGAACAGUUACAGCGUGUGAAAGAUGACAGGACAUUAAUGAAGUGUUUGUGUAGGUGAUGAUCAACACGUCCAGCGUUCAGAGCAUAAAGAAGAAACACACCGCUAAGAUCCUUCCCAACGCCAUCGCCAUCAUCACCACAGACAGACACAAGUAUCUGUUCGUGUCGUUACUGAAUCGAGAAGCGUGUUUCAAGCUGCUGCAGGCGCUCUGUACACAGCUGCAGAUGGAGAGCAGCAGCAGGAUAUCCUCCUCUCCGGAUGUGGAGAUGGACACGAUUUCCAGCCUGUCGAGUCUAGAGGAGAAUCCUGAGAACCACACGAUUCAUCCCACAGACGAGAGUCAAACUCUCCAGCCAGAAGUACGAAGCAGCUCAGCGCCACACGACGAGCCGAGCAGAAAGAUCAGCUCGAGCACAGGUGAGCGUCACAGUCCUGCUGGACCACGGCAGCUGCUUCAUAACUUGCUGAGAAUCUGUGAUGAAUGCGUGUUUCCUGACGUUCACGUGUUCUCUGAUCUAGCGGUCUCCUGGGUAACCAUGGUAACAGAGAAGGUCAGCUCGGUUCUGUCGUCCAAUGACACGCGCAGCCUGAACACACUCCUGCUCUUCUACGUGAUCCUGUGAGUAUGAGACGAUAUCAGACUCAGAAGCUCUGAAUGACCUCCGAAGCGCUUCUUUCAGCUGAAACGUUCAAACAGAAUGAGAUCAAGCGAUCAAAGGCCAGGACUCUGGCUUCUGGCUUGUUGUGCAUCCACACACGAUCCUGUUUGGCUUCAAAACUCAGUCUCAGCACAUUAAAGCGACUGUGAGACGAAAGCAAGUGACAUUAGGAUAGUACAUAAUGAAUUGCAGCCAUUUGCUGUUUGAGCAACAGAUACUUCAGGGGUUUGAAAAAUGAAGUAAAGUGAAUUAAAGAUGCAGCGCUUGUGCAAAUAUCAGACACUUAAUGAGUUCCAGCAGCUCGGAAACACACCGAUGUUCAGAGACGCUCGUGUCAGGUCCAGCUUACAGGAAGAGUUCAGCCAAAAAUUUAAGUGAAUGCUGAAAAU